AAAAGGCUGCAUUUUUUAAGAGAGGUGAAGAAUCCAUCAAAGGCAGUCCCAAAGUGGGAGACAUUUCGAGGGAGGCAUUUACUUCUCAUCCGUGUGUAACACUAAGGGAUCCAAUGGAGUACGAAGAUAUACUUGACCGAUCGACAGAAGUAGAGAGAGGCACGGAGCAGAGGAUAUAGAUCCGGGAGACCUUUCAAAUAGUUCAUUAGAAGAAGAGAUGCAGGAUUCAUUUGAAAGAGUUAGCGCCUCCGUAUCGUUACUGGAAGGAGCAAUAAUGUAACAGCCCCACUUUCCCCUAAGGCGAACCAAAGGAGUUAGCGGACUGCCUGCCCAACUCUUGC
rnacentral:lncRNA from 1 species